rnacentral:rRNA from 1 species
CCUACGGGAGGCAGCAGUCGAGAAUCAUUCACAAUGGGGGAAACCCUGAUGGUGCGACGCCGCGUGGGGGAAUGAAGGUCUUCGGAUUGUAAACCCCUGUCAUGUGGGAGCAAAUUAAAAAGAUAGUACCACAAGAGGAAGAGACGGCUAACUCUGUGCCAGCAGCCGCGGUAAUACAGAGGUCUCAAGCGUUGUUCGGAAUCACUGGGCGUAAAGCGUGCGUAGGCUGUUUCGUAAGUCGCGUGUGAAAGGCGCGGGCUCAACCCGCGGACGGCACAUGAUACUGCGAGACUAGAGUAAGGGAGGGGGAACCGGAAUUCUCGGUGUAGCAGUGAAAUGCGUAGAUAUCGAGAGGAACACUCGUGGCGAAGGCGGGUUCCUGGACAGUAACUGACGCUGAGGCACGAAGGCCAGGGGAGCGAAAGGGAUUAGAUACCCCGGUAGUC